AGAGGGGGCAAACGUUGCUCUGAAAUACUGGGGGUAAAAGGGGCGUAGGCGGGAGGGCAAAUCGGUCGUGAAAUCCCUCGGCUCAACCGAGGAAAGUCGAUCGAUAAUGCUGUUUUUGAGGAUUGCAGAGGAGACUGGAAUUUCCCGGGUAGCGGUGAAAAGUGUAGAGAUCGGGAGGAACACCGGUGGGGAAGGGGGGUCUUUGGGCAAUUCCUGACGCUGAGGCGCGAAAGCGUGGGGAGCAAACGGGAUUAGAUACCCCGGUAGUUCCCCCUGUAAACGAUGACGACUAGGUGUGGGGGGGGUCAGUCCCUUCCGUGCCGCAGCUAACGCAUUAAAUGCCCCCCCUGGGGAGUACGGCCGCAAGGCUG
rnacentral:rRNA from 1 species